GUAUGUCUAGCUCAGUUGGUAGAGUACAAGACUUUUAACCUUAAGGUUGUGGGUUCAAGCUCCAUGCUGGACG
rfam:Zea mays cultivar B73 chromosome 8, whole genome shotgun sequence.